rnacentral:lncRNA from 1 species
AUUUUGAACCGGAGGAAUAUUGCAAAAUAGCUUUACCCUUCAGUCACAGAAGUGCUUUCGCCAAAUUUAGAUGUGGUGUUGCUCCCCUAAGAAUUGAAACAGGGAGAUAUGAAAAUAUUGUUUUAGAAAAUAGAGUGUGCCAUAUAUGUGACGUUUUUAUUGAAGAUGAAGCGCAUGUUUUAUUAAAAUGUCCUCUUUAUGACGAUUUUAGAAACCAUUUAUAUUAUGUUGCUGAAACUUUUAAUGAUAAUUUUAAUACUUUAGAUGAUAAUCAAAAGUUAGUGU